GAUAAACUCACUGUAACAUCAAUACUGUCCACUUUUCCACAAUCACUGAAUAUAAUGCUGUAUGUUUUUGUACACAAAGUUCAUGUACCAAUUCUGACUGGAUGUAAAAUUAAUUAGUUAUUUGGCUCAUGCCAAUACAAAUUGGAUACUCUUAAAAAGAGAUUGAGAUUUGAGCAGUGAGCUUUGGCAUCAUCCUGUGUAACAGUAACUUACUUUUGUUUAAUGUAUAUAUUAAAUUUAAUAAAACCUAGCAAAUAUACUUUAAAAGUUGAUGCUUAAGUACAAAAUGUAAAUUCUUUUCAGUGUUUUUCCCCAUGUAGCACAAAUUUGUUUCCUUUUAUGAUACAAAUAUACAAUAUAAAUCAAUUUUCUGAAUGUUUCUUUUUUUUCUGCACUAGGAAGAAAAAGAUUUUACUAAAUUCCCUCCAGUUUUUCCAUUAUGUUCUGAAAUAUUUUUUUGUUAAAAUGAAAAAGCUUUGCUACAAGUUGAGACUUGGUUCUUCUAUUUCCUGUUACUUGAGUCAGUUUGAGGUUUUAAGGAUCCUCGUAUUGUUCAGUAGACCACUGGCUUCAGCUCUCAUCUUACUACGCGAAUCAAUCCCACUCACAAGCUGCCAAACAGCUGAGACAAAUUUAAGUUCAGUGUUAAAAUUUACCCUGUAAAAACAUGAUCAUAUGAGAAUACAUGAGAAAAACACCAUAAGGCAAAUGUGUUUCAGAUGUACAGACGAGCAUAAUACAAGAACCUGCACAAAUAAGGUUCUGUAUUUCUGUUGCUUGAUAGUGGAAGUGUUUUAUUUUUUCAGCGACGUUCAUGCUUGGAAUUCCGCCGAUUAAAGGUCUAUGUGUCACCAUCGUCAACGGUCCGCAUGACAGAAAGUACCUCAGUCAGAUCUGCUUUAUAUUCCUCAGCCCAGACAUCCAGGAGAAUAAGGUUCUAGCCCCUCCAGACUAGUGUUGUGUAGUCAUAUUGAAAAAGUGCAGUAGCAAAAUAUGGCUGAUUACCAACAAGUUUUUUUUUUUCUUCAAACACAUAUGUACUAGUACAUUUGCAUUAACGUUUGACAUUAAAAGGUGAAGUACGUACAUUUUCUGUUCUAAUAAAAUCUUAAUCU